rnacentral:rRNA from 1 species
UACGGAGGAUGCAAGCGUUAUCCGGAUUUAUUGGGUUUAAAGGGUGCGCAGGUGGUUGAAUAAGUCAGUGGUGAAAGUCUGCCGCUUAACGGUAGGAUUGCCAUUGAUACUGUUUAACUUGAGUUUGGAUGAGGUAGGCGGAAUGUGUAGUGUAGCGGUGAAAUGCAUAGAUAUUACACAGAACACCGAUUGCGAAGGCAGCUUACUAAUCCACUACUGACACUGAGGCACGAAAGCGUGGGGAUCAAACAGGAUUAGAUACCCUGGUAGUCCACGCCGUAAACGAUGAUCACUCGCUGUUUGCGAUAUACAGUAAGCGGCCAAGCGAAAGCGAUAAGUGAUCCACCUGGGGAGUACGAUCGCAAGGUUGAA